UGGGGAAUAUUGCACAAUGGAGGGAACUCUGAUGCAGCGACGCCGCGUGAACGAAGAAGGCUUUCGAGUCGUAAAGUUCUUUUAUAUGGGAAGAUAAUGACGGUACCAUAAGAAAAAGCCCCGGCUAACUACGUGCCAGCAGCCGCGGUAAUACGUAGGGGGCUAGCGUUGUCCGGAAUCACUGGGCGUAAAGGGUUCGCAGGCGGAAAUGCAAGUCAGGUGUAAAAGGCAGUAGCUUAACUACUGUAAGCAUUUGAAACUGCAUAUGUUGAGAAGAGGAGAGGUAAGUGGAAUUUUUAGUGUAGCGGUGAAAUGCGUAGAUAUUAAAAAGAAUACCGGUGGCGAAGGCGACUUACUGGGCUCAUUCUGACGCUGAGGAACGAAAGCGUGGGUAGCAAACAGG
rnacentral:rRNA from 1 species